CAUACCGGAGCACUGUCCUGGUUGAUCCGGCUGGGUCACAGCAGCUUUGCUACAUUGUAUCAGACAAUCCUCUUCUAGUAAGUUAGGUUCCUCGCUUUGAGGCUUGAGAGACCCGUGGGAUACACCAGGAGGAGGAAGAGAGAGCUGGAGUCUCUCUGAUCAGAGGAAGGCCAGAGUUUACCUUAAAGACCAGGUCUGCAGCACACAUCCAUGCUCCUGCCUCGGCAGGCAUGGCGCAGUAGGCCUGACCUCUGAGCCUCUCCCACCGAUCGCUAGCACAGCUUCCCCCCUCGCGCUCUUCAGCAGCUCGUCUGGACUUUUUGGCUAAGUGCCUGUGUACACACUGCUUCUGAGCAGGUGAGAAGUGGGAUCAGGGGUCUCUAGAGCCUUCUGGGAACCCCAGCUAGGAGAGGAAGUCAGAGGCUUGGCUUCAGAGACUCCAAGUGCCCUCACGGCCUUGUAACCUGUGCCCUUUCGCCCUCAUUUCAUAACCGCUGUAGGAAGAGCUGUCUCACCUAAGCUGUGCAAAAGUAGAAUCAGGUAAGGAGUCACAUGAGGAGCUGCAGGAAGCCCUCUCUCCACACCUCUCUAGGGUGGAGGAGGAGCUGGGGCUCCCAAAGGCCAUUUGCUUUGGCACACUUCCCAUCAUAGUAGACAUCAGAAGACAAUGGCUUGAAGAAACCAGAGAAAGGGGUUGGGGAUUUAGUUCAGUGGUAGAGUGCUUGCCUAGCAAGCGCAAGGCUCUGGGUUCAUUCCCCAGCUCCAAAAAAAAAAAAAAAAAAAAAAAAAAAAAAAAAACAAAAAA